AGUGGGGUAGCUGGGUCAAAUGGUGGUUCCAUUCCAAGAUUUCUUAAGGAAUCUUGAUACUGCUUUCCAGAGUGGUUGCACCAAUUUGCAGUCCCACCAGCAAU
rnacentral:pre_miRNA from 1 species